CACGUAGGCACCAAGCGUUAUCCGGAUUUAUUGGGCGUAAAGAGCUCGUAGGCGGUUCAGUCAGUCGGGUGUGAAAACUUGAGGCUUAACCUCAAGAGGUCACUCGAUACUGCUGUGACUAGAGUGCGGUAGGGGAGCGGGGAAUUCCUGGUGUAGCGGUGAAAUGCGCAGAUAUCAGGAGGAACACCAAUGGCGAAGGCAGAUCUCUGGGCCGCAACUGACGCUGAGGAGCGAAAGCAUGGGGAGCAAACAGG
rnacentral:rRNA from 1 species